UGGGGAAUUUUGCACAAUGGGGGAAACCCUGAUGCAGCGACGCCGCGUGAUUUAGAAGGCCUUCGGGUUGUAAAAAUCUUUUCUAUGGGAAGAAAAUGACAGUACCAUAGGAAUAAGGACCGGCUAAUUACGUGCCAGCAGCCGCGGUAAUACGUAAGGUCCGAGCGUUGUCCGAAUCAUUGGGCGUAAAGGGUACGUAGGCGGGUAAGCAAGUUAGAAGUGAAAUCCUAUAGCUCAACUAUAGUAAGCUUUUAAAACUGCUCAUCUUGAGGUAUGGAAGGGAAAGUGGAAUUCCUGGUGUAGCGGUGAAAUGCGCAGAUAUUAGGAGGAAUACCGGUGGCGAAGGCGACUUUCUGGCCAUAACCUGACGCUGAGGUACGAAAGCGUGGGUAGCAAACAGG
rnacentral:rRNA from 1 species